UCCUCUCAUUGUAAGCGCUCAUUUUACCCAGAGGAAGAAAGUUGUGUCAGUGGAACAUUUUUAAUUUCUUUUUUUUCUUACUUCUUAGCCUCUUGUGGCAGAACUCUUUGGGUUUAAUCAAUACCAAUCGAAAUAAUGUCUUAUCAACUUGGGGAUGGCUGCUCUUUGCUCAUAUUUUUAGAUAAGUUUUACUUUUUAGCUCCAUAUCUUCUGACAUCAAUUUCUUUUUUUUUUUUUUUUAAGGAAUUCUCAUCAUUGCUUUGCCAUCCCUUUUUUUGCGCGGUCUUUGCUUUAUGAUUUUAUAAGCGGCAAUAGGUGUUAUAAACAUCAUAUUUUGAUUGAUCUUCAAAGACAAGGUUCUUUUAAAAUUGAAAUUUUAUUAUUCAUUCUCGAUCGAUAUUCAUAGGUAGCUUUUUCGAACUCACCAAUGACUUGUCUAUGAAACAAAUCGAUCUCACACUCAAGUUAGAUUACUUUCCGAUCCUUUCUCUUUAUCAGAUGAGUUCGAGUUAAUAUUGAAUCUCCAAACUAUUUAAUCUUGCCUGCUAUUAUUCUUCGAUCUCUCUAUGUACAAAUAUCACAAAAUUCUAUUUGACUAAUGUUGUGAUCGGGCUUCUCGCUCGAAUUGCCCAGAUAUUCCUCAAAAUGAAGUUAAAGUUUUUAUCGGGUAUAAUAAUGAUUCCAACCUUAAAAGUUCAAGUCAGUGUCAAAUCUUUGCAAUUCUAAUAUUUUAAAGUUCCAUUUGAUAUUUGGUCAUGGCUCCAUCUGAUCUCAUGUUCACCUGUAACGUUUUUCUGAUCUCUUUGAGUAAUUUGAUAUCUUUUGAUUAAUAGUCGCUCUCAGGUUUAAUGUUCAACUACAUCAGGUUUAAUGUUCAACUACAUUCAAUCAAUUAAGUAUUUAAACAAUUUAAUUUGGAUGCUUUCCGAUCUCAUCAAGAAAUUGAACAUAAAAAACUUCAAUUCAUUUCAAAAUAAAAAAAUAUAUACAAGUCAAUUAGCAAAGGGGGUCUUCUCCGCCCUGCACCCCAAUUACAGUCCUCUCUCUCUCCUCACCCUCGUGCUUCUCAUCGCUGUCCUCUUCGGCCGCUGGGAUGAGCUUAUCCAUCCAGGAAAAGUCUUCCUCAGGAUAAUGCUUCUUUAGUUCGGACAGGAGGUCGUUAUGGGAGUUCACAUAUGCCCCAGCAUCUUUUGUAGUGCUCUCCUCCUUCUUUGCUUGGAGCUCCUCCUCCUUUGUCUAAAGUUCCUCAGAAAAACGAGCGAUAUUGACAGAUCGACCAGCCUGGGAGACUUCAAGUUCUCACUCCACUUCAGUUAUCCUCUCUUUGCAAUACUGCACCCAAUCUUCCAGUUUAACGAUGUAAUCAUUAGCAGUGGAGAGCUAAGCCUUUGCAGUUGAUGCAUCCUGGACCGCCUUAAGAAUCUCCUUCCUUAAGACGUGGGCUUUUUCUCUGAUCAUAUAUUGGUUUGCAAUAGCCUCCAAGCCAAACUCAUUGUCUAAGUUAGAAUAUCGUCAAUACUCUCUUCUGCCAACUGGUUCCAAUCUUCUUGAAAGUAGAUGGAAGCGCCCAUGACCUUGGCUAGACCAAGAUUUCCUCGGGUGGAGCAGUUUCUUUCCAGCAAUUAGAUAAGGAGUUGAGCUCCUCGGGAGACCAUUCUAAUAGUAGGGCUAGAAGACUCCCCUUCUACAUUGGAAGAGGUCAGAGGAGGCAGACAUUCAAUCUACUGAGGUAGAGAGACGAUGACCUCUACCUCUGAGGCUGGCUGCUCCUGAGGUCGAGGAGGGUAGCUUGGUACUUCUACCAAGUCUCGUCGAGGUGUUUGAGCAGCGGUGGCAGUAGCCUCUUUCAUUGCUCGUACCUUUUGGGAGACCUCCCUCUUCUGCUUGCGGCUCUCUUUGAAAGCGUUACCACCCGCCAUACCUGCACAAUGAAGAAGUCAGUGAGUUCGCUAAGAUUGAGAGACUAGAGAUCCGGAUUGUACCGGUAGCAGGACCGAGGUCAGAAAGCUGAAGCUCGUAAUCUUCAUGGGAGAUCAGCCGCAUCAUUCACCAUUUCAGUUCAGCCAUGACAGCAUCUAAGCACGAAUAUUUAUGGGUGGCCGCCUGAGUUUUUAAUUCUUUCACAAUGGCGUCUUCGUCUUUAUUUAAAGUAAGCUUCUUAGGGACUUGGGGGACUAAAUAAUUCCAAUUACGUGGGAUCCCCUCAAAGCCAUUUCGAUCCUUGCUCCUAAGGAUGAAAAAUCAAUCCUUCCAGUUCUUCAGCGAAGAAGGGAGAUCGGUGGAAAGCCUGCAGUUUGGCUUUGCCUGAAAAAAUGAGAAUUCGUCAUCAUUUCUUCGGGCAAGCCUAUGCAGCUCGACAAAGACCCUAACCGUGGGCUCUAGUCUCUUAGCUCGGCAGAGACCUCUGAAGGCUACUAAAGUCUGCCAGGAGUUCGGAUGCACUUGAUCUACCGAGACAUGGUGGAAUUUUAGGAUGGCCUUGUAAAAUCCAUCCAAGGGAAAACAGAGCUCGAACUUCAGCUGCUCGUCAUACACUAUGAUAAGAUUGCCUUCUUCAAAAAGUGAUCGGGUCGAAGAUCGCCAUGGCAUCUGAUCAGUUCAAAAGAGUCAAUCUGCAGAUUGUAUUCCUGACUUAUGGAUUGGAGAUCGGUCUCUCUAAGGACUGACGGUAGUUCAUCAACUGGCAGGUUCUCCUUUCUCGAAGACGUUCCUCAUUUCGAUCUAGUAGCCAGACAAGUAAUCGGAAUGAUGGCUGUGCUGGAUCGUCCGCUUGGUCUAAUCGCAUCGCCUCUUUCUGAGGUCCACAAAAUAUGGACGGAAGGUGGGCUCGCAGCUCUCUUACCCUCGGUACCACUCAUUUUCACAAAAUAAAAAGGAAAAUUGAUCGAAAAAAGAUUAAAGCUCUUACCGAAGUGUUAGUCGGUGCCGGAAAAACUUAAAAAGCGAGAGAAAAUUUGAUGUCGAUGAGAGAAAUCUGAAAGUGGCAUGAUUUGCGAAUGGCUACCCCCUCCCUAUUUAUACCCGCUAGUGCAUUAAAUGCUGCAUCGAUAAGUGAGAUCUGACCAGUGCCCUGUAACACCCCUAUGUUCGGUAGUGCGUUCUACUGUUCCGGUGAUAGUGUCUAUCCAGACAGCUAGGAUGCCUAGAACUACACUUAGAUAUGGGUGAGAAAACAUAAAAUAAUGAAAUACAAGAAAAUAAAAUACAAGAAAAACAAAAAAAAAAUAAUAGCAAUGAAAUGUAACCAAGUUAAACGAGCCGAAAACCAUAGCGAUGGCUGAUCACAGCGGAAAGUUACGGCGUGGACCGUUGAUUAGCCUUGGACCACAGGGAAUCCUGGAAAAUAUUUUUGAGAAUUAAAUGAACAUCUAUUGAAGUAUAAAUAUCAUUAGAAAUAUCAAAGAAAAAUUAAUUAAUUAGUACAAAGAAAAAAGAGAAAUCGAGAAAACGACAAAACUCGGUGUUACCGAAAAAUCGGGAAUGCAAUCCGAAUAGAGGCAUUGUGGUCAUUUGACAUCCUGAGAUGCCUUUUAACCUAAAUGUCCAUUAAAAAUAAAUGAUAUUAAACUUUGAAAAUACAAUGAAAAAUUAAAAUGAGAUACAUUAUGUAAAUAAUGAAAGUGUGGUGGCCAAAUUGCAAAAAUUGGAAAGUUUAACAUUAAAAUAGAUUUUUAAUCAAUUAGUGCUCCACUAACAUCACUUAAGUGGACCUUUAAUCAACCUUUGGACAGAAAAUUCUGUCAUCUUCAACCUUGGGACAAACCAGCCGAAACAAAGUGAGAGAAAAACUCCAUGGCUGAGCUUGAAGGACCUCCAUGCAACCUUGGUUAAGUCACUCUUUCCACUAGCUCCCUUCAUUAAACUUGACCUCCAUACCUUGGGUAGCAUACUAGGAGCAAGAAAGUUAAGUUUUGGUGAGGUUUUAAAGAACUUCAAAAGUGGUAAGUGAGUGUUUUCAAUUCUUAUUUCAUUAAAAGUGUAACCAAGGUUGUGGGUAGUUAAUUUAUGGAAGAAUUUUUUAUGUUUGAUAUUUUAAUGGAGAUGUACAUUUUGGUAGCCAUGGAAAUUCAGUAUAUGUAGCUUGUUUUUAAUUAUUUAUGGUUGUUUCAGAUGUUGUUAUUGAUGGCAGUAUGGAUAUGUGUAUAAUGGUUUGGAAUUGGGUAUGUAAAUGGGGUAUGUUCAUGUGGUUAAAUGGUGUAAAUGGACUUUGGAAAAUUCUGUUUUAUAAUGUGCAUAUUGAGAAUGGUUACAAGCUGUCCAAAAUGUGUUGUUAAAUGUGUUAAUGGUAAGGUACAAACCAGAAUUGGCAUAAAGGAAGUAAUUUGGUAAGUGUUGAAUAUGUAAUUGGUAAGUGAUGAGAAGUGUAUAGUAGGACAGUGUGUGUUUUGGCUUAAAACCUUAUGUGUGUGACUCCAAUUGGUAUAAGACCAAUUGGAAGUGAAACUAGGCACAAAAUGUGCCAACUUUCAUGAAGGAAGCUUACCUAAAUUCUGCCUAGAAGGUAACUUGAAAAAUGACUAAAUCCAUAUUAGUGACUUGAAAGCCUGGAAAUUGACCAUUUGGGCAGUAGUUAGUGUUUUGGCUAUAACUCACUCAAAACAGGUCUAAAUGACUUGAAAUUUUUACCAUCAAUAGUUUAGACAUAUAUCUACAAUUCUUAUGAAGUCACCAAUGCCCAGAAAUAGCAAAAACCAAGCCAACUAGUUUGCACAAGUUCAGGUAUCAAAACUAGCCGAACCAAAAGUGACCUAAAAAUAACCUAAAGUUAGCAUUUAGGUGCAUUUUGUCCAGCAUUGGUAAAUUGACCAUAACUUGGUCUACACAACUCAGAAUGACCUGAAAUUUUGCCCCACGUGCAAUGGGACAUAGACCUACAAGUUUGUAGUUUAGACCGAAACCCAAAAACCGAGAAAACUAGGUCAUAUGGCUAGGUCAAAUUAGUAUACUGGAAUUCGGCAAAUUGCAAUAAAAUGCAAUAUACUUGAAAAUGAAUUUGGUAACAUGUACCAACACUAAAAGGCUAUAAAAUGUGACAUAUUGAUAACAUUAAACCUAAUUCGCCUAGAGUGCAUCGAGGGUCAACAUUUUAGGUUAACUAAGGAAAAUAAUAGAAUUCAAUAAAUUAAUUAUUAAGCCUUAUUGUUAGAGAUAGUUUAAAUGAGUAUUGAAAUACUUCAAAUUGUGUGUUUUAGUUAGCAAAGACUCAGGGAAGGGGAAGGAAACACUGAUUCAGGACCAAGAGACAUUUAUCAGAGGUAGACAGACUUACAAGGCAGCAGACUAGGCUGCUAGUGCUACAUUGAGAGUUCAUCGGGAGGUCUAAGAUCCUCAAAUUGACUAUCGAAGAAGAGGAUCGUUCAGUCGAUCAAUCUAUAGAGGUUGAGGUAAAAGGGGAUGCCCCAGCCCUACAUAAUGUGAGUGGAUCAACUCCACCAACCCCGUCAGUACCGUAGUUUCCUGCUCAGUUUGCACAGCAGAUGGCUGUGAUGUUUCAAUAGAUGGCUGGUAACAUGUCUACUCAAGUCCCACUACAGACAUCAGUGGUACAACUACAGUCUUCAGCUAGGCAGUAUGACAAGCUGAUUAAAUAUGGGGCUACUGAGUUCAAGGGGACAGUAGAUCCUCUAGAGGAAGAACAGUGGUUAGAAAGAAUGGAUAGGGUGUUCAAGAAGCUACAUUGUAUAGAGGAGCUCAGAUUUGAAUAUUCAGUGUCUCUGCUACAGGGGGAUGCAUAUGACUGGUGGAAAACCAUUCCCCAUAGUCUGGUAGAACCUUCAGUGCUAACAUGGAAUAUUUUCUACGGGAGUUCAGACAAAAAUAUGUCCCUGAUGCUUAUGUGGACCAGAAGUUGCGAGAGUUCCUAAGUCUGAAACAGGGGACUAGAUCAAUGGUUGAAUAUGAAGGGGAAUUUUCUCGCCUGAGCCAUUAUGCAGUAAGUCUAUUUUCUACCAAUAGGGAGAGAUGUAAGAGGUUUGAAACUGGCUUGAAGCUCAGUAUUAGAUUACAAGUGGUCGGAUUCAAACAUAACAACUGCUCUGAGCUUAUUUCUCAAGCACUAGAAUUAGAAAGAAUUGAGUUAGAAGCAGCUCCAGAGAAAAAGAAAUCAGAAAAGACAAAGAAAGAGAAAGAGAAAGAGAAAGAGGGAAAGUCAGUAGAACAGAGUUCCAAUGGUUCUACUGGGAAGAGGAAAAACUUUGGGGGACACAGCAAGGGUGGUAAAAAGUCUGGUAGGGGAAGAUGUUCGGGACAGAAACCUCCUCCAUCUGGUCAGCAAAGUACCAGAAGUUCCUACCCUCCCCGCUAAUGUGAAACUUGUGGUAGAAACUAUGGUGGGGUAUGCUACAAGGCCACAGGAGCCUAUUAUAACUAUGGAGGCACAGGACACUUUGCCAAGGACUACACCAGUGCCCGUAGAGUUGGGUCACCUCCUACUACUACUGAAGGGUCAGUUCAGAGUCCUGCCACCAGAGGUUCACAACCACCUAGCAGAGGUAAAGGCAGGGGUAGAGGUAGUCCAGCAGGUAGCCAAGGCACAGUGAAUCAAUCAAAGCAAGGCAGUGCUCCAGUUAGAGUCUACGCAAUGAGAUAGAGAGAAGAGGCAGAGACAUCUGAUAUUGUGGCUGGUACCUUCUCAACUUUUAAUCAAUAUGUGUUUGUGUUAUUUGAUCCGGGUUCUACCCAUUCUUAUGUGAGUACUAGCAUCAUUGAUUGCAUUGCUGUUUCAUGUGUGAAAAUGGACUUUGAGGUGCUAGUAACAAGUUCGCUAGGACAAGAGGUCAGGGUUAAUAGAAUGUAUAGGGAUUGUCCUUUGGGGAUUCAAGGACACACCUUUCUAUCUGAUCUCAUUGAAAUGCCCUUUAGAGAUUAUGAUAUCAUCUUGGGCAUGGAUUGCUUAGCCAGGCAUCACGCUGUGAUUGACUGUAGACUAAAGACAAUCACUUUUGGUCUCCCUCAGUACAGUGAUGUGGUAAUACAUGGGGAGAGGCAGCUAUUGCCAUCAAACAUCAUUUCGGCUGCACUAGCCAGAAAAAUGAUCAGAAAGGGGUGUGAAGCCUACUUGGCACAUG